rnacentral:lncRNA from 1 species
AUUGACCAUCAUACAGAAACUGUUAAGCAAGUGCCAUCAAGGCCAGCAGUACCCGUAUUAUAUGUCCAGAGAAGAGCCAGGCCAGAUGGGAACUGCGUGAAAGCAACCAGUUAUCUUGCUAAUUAUGCCAGCUAGAACCAGUUGUAUUGCAUUAAAAAAUGUGGAAUCCAACAACUUAGCUGUUCACACUCAAUUAGCAGUGUGCUGGAGAAUGGAAAACUCAAGCAAGGAGUCCAUGUGCUCCGGGAAGUGACAGCUGCUUCCUUACCC